rnacentral:lncRNA from 1 species
GUCUCUUUCCAGAAAAGGGCAGCACUUCCAACAUUUAAGGUCUACAGACAAAGCUGCUAGGACUGCCCAGGAGACAUUACUGUAUUCAGAACCAAGUUAAAUUAUUUAAAAACAAAAUUACUAGAUCUGUUCCACAUCUGAUAAGAUGGAUGCUGCAAAGUGGGUAUCCUUGGAGUACAGGUGAUAAAUGCUUCACAGGCCAAAAACCUAAGAGUCAUCCUUGCUUAAUCUUUUUUUUUUAAAUUCAUGUCCAGUGUAUCAGCAAAGAACCGUAAGGUUUCUAAGUGGAGAAGCACACCAAGGUAACUCAAGUAGUUUUGCUGGGAAACAAGAAAAUUUUGUUAUCAUGAUUAUAAUAGAAAAAUCUCAUGCACAUGAGGACAAAAAAGUUCUUGUGUAGGUAGAAGGGAAUCAGGUGCACAAGUAUUGAAGAUUAGUUCUAGAUCACCUUUGCAACAAGAGGAAAAAAACAUGGGCACAAUGUAGGUCCAAUUUGAUCUGAAAAUCUCUAGAGCGUCCAGUAGUUC